rnacentral:misc_RNA from 1 species
UCUUCAACCUUCUGUGAGAUGGAUGGAUCCAUAGGUUGAUUGUCAGGUGUUGGCGGUAUGUGCACUGUGUAGUUUGUAAAGUCGCCACUCCCCAGUUCACUAUCAAGAUCAUCCCUUGAAUAGCGAACAUACCGACCCGAGGAAGUUCGCCGAGCAAAUGUUACAGUCUGAGGCAUUGGCUGCUUCUGUGCAUCAGACACAUCAGAAGUUGAUGAUAGAUUUGAACGGGUCAGCUUAAAUGACUUAGACGCCAUAACCAAGCACUAAACACGCUUCUUCCCUGAGACUCUUAACUCUGUGUAUUGGGUGAAAACCAAAGAUCGAGCAGCUGAGCCGCGUCCGCCGUAUGCAGCCG